rnacentral:lncRNA from 1 species
AGACACAGGCAGAGAAAAAAGCAGGCCCCAUGCUGGAAGCCCGAUGCAGAACUCAGUCCCAGGACUCCGGGAUCAUGCCCUCAGUCAAAGACAGAUGCUCAACCACUGAGUCACCCAGGCGUCCCUGGAGAGAGAAAAUCUUAAGGAGGUUCUACAUGCAGUGUGGAGGCCUGAUCUCAUGAUCCUGAGAUCAUGACUUGAGCCAAAAUUAAAAGUUGGUCACUUAACUGACUGAGUCACUCAGGCAUCCCUGUGUGCUCUUUUAUAAUAAGCAAAGGUGUUCUAUUCAGUGUUUUCAUCUUCAAUAGUUAGCCCAGGACCUGGUACAUAGUAGAAAGCCAGAAAAUGCUUUAAAGAGCUAAAACGCCUAGCACUUGUCAGGCCCCCCACCAUUAAACCCAAAAAACAAAUUGUACCUUCUUUACUUUCAAAAUUCUUUGUGGAUACCAGCACUAUUUUAAUUUUAUGAAACUUUUUGUUUGUUGCUACCUAAUUCAAGGCGGAUGAUUCAUACGUGGCUGUACUACUGAUGUACUUAAGAAGCUGAAUUCCACUGAUUAUUCGUUUCGUGGCUCCCUUCAGUCUAUUCUGAGGCCCCAAGAUGGCAAGGAUCACAUUUGAUACAUUGGUCCACAGCUAAGCCUGACUUACAAAAGGUGCUCAUUGAAUGUUUGCCAGGUAAACACACACCUCCAUGUUUUCCCAAGUAAGCUCUCAAUGAUUUAUAAUUAGGCUGUGAAUGUUUUCUUUUCUGUCAUAUACCAUGUCUCCUUUUAGUCUCCUUAAAGCCCUAAUUUUACAUUUUUCCUCUUACUCUGCAACUAUUUUUAUGUUCUCCAUGUAGCCAAUAGGAGGUGAGUCGUAUUCUUGCCCCUACUUCCUCUGAAUCUAAAUGAGAAGCAGAGACAGCUAAAUGGGAGUCGGACACCAAGAGUCCUAAUGCAAGAAAGUCAUGGCCUCUGCAUGUCUAUCCGAUGCAAGUAAGGACAACACAGACCUGCAGGCCUAGUGUAGGAGCUCUGGGAAGCCAGACCAGUAUCAAUUCGGUAUGUGGCUAUGACGUCAUGAAUCUCAUGGAAACUUUCUGUUGUUGAAGCCCCCUGGUCUGGGACUGCUAUGGCAGUCCUCACAAAUCAAUACACAUGGGUAUGUUAGGAAGCAUUUGUAUUCACUUCUUCCACUGAAGUGCUAAGGUGUGGUGUGACCAGUUGGAAAGGAUUCUAGAAUAAGAGUCCGAGGUCAGACGACUGGGUGUCCAUGCUUUCUGUUGACUUGCAAGUCCUGGAGCAAGUCACAUUUCUCUAAUGAUCCUUGGUUUCUGCCUCUCUGAAGUAAUCAUACUUGCUUCAUUCACUUUACUGAAUGGCUUCUAGGAUCACAUUUAUAGCUAUGAAAUCACACUAUAAUUACGAAUCGGCUUACUCAUAUCCGAGGUUAUUAUUCCCACCAUUCUCAUUAUGGGGUUGAGGAGUUUGCCUUCUCACCUACUUUCCAAUUGUGCCAAGUGUAAGAAGGGAGCACAGGCUCUGUGAUUUUCCUUCUUACUGAGAAGCAGAGGACAAUGAGAAAGAGGGGAGAGGAAGGUGCAAACUGGAACCAGUGAUGUUCAGUUUGCUUUUCUCAUAAUUUGACCUCAUUUGGCUUAAUUUUUCAGAGAAAACUCUCCUCACAGAAACCAACAAUAUGGGACAUCCAUCUGUGUAAGGAAAGGAUCAGUCUGUGCAGAGUAUCUAUUGAGUACCUACUGUGUGUACCAGGCACUACAUUACAGGGCAAGCAAAGCACAUAGGCCUUUGACUUUACAAAGUGUACUGUGCAAUGGAGAAGAAAGAACUACUGAAUAAUUACAGACAUCUAAUUUAACUACUUGUGAAUUUCCAACUGCACAAACAUUUCUGGAGGAUUAGAGUGUAUCUCCUUGGGACUCAUCUGGGUCCUGUUACAGUGCUGGCUAGGGAGGGACAGAGACACCCAUCAUCCAGUCACGGCUACAGAUGGACUUGGGAGAAGCAAAACGGAGGUGAGUUAGUUACUUCUCUAAAUGGGCAAUGAUUCAGAAGGGCUGACUAGCAUUUUAUUUUCCUGGUAUGAUUUUUCAGGUUGCAGCUACGUUUACAUAUUAAAGGUCCUGAAAGAAAAGAUGAGGCCAGAAUUGCUGAGCCUUGCCUGAUGAAGCCUAGGACACAGGAAGUGCUAAGUAGCCAAGAGCAGGAUUGGUGACCCUGGAAGUGCAACGUGAUUCAGGUGCCGAAGGAUGGCCCUGCCUCUCAGGAGGAGGCGGAGAGCGCACUGCAGGCAGUUGAGAAGGCAACACCAAAGGAUGUGGGCUGCACGUGUGCACAUGCACGCACAUGCAGUCAUCCUUCUCUUUUUUGCACAUCAUAUUAGGAGGAUCAAGGCUAUGAAACUUUGUUUGAUGCCUGUUUCUUCGCAGUUCCUAAAACCAGCCCAUCCUUUAGGAAGACAGAAAAGAAAACCAUUCUGCUAGGACCGCACAGUUCAGGAAGGUAUGGUGAAUUUUAGGUUACAGCGUGCCUGGGCAAUGGGGUGAACAGGCAUUUAGCCAAACAUUCCUUUGGAUGUGUCUGAGGGCAGUUUUGGUUGAGAUUAACAUUUGAAUCCGUAGAGGGAGUAAAGCACCUGGCCUUCCCCAACAUGGGUGGGCCUGGCCCAAGCAGUUGAAGCCAACAUAGACCAAAAGGCCAUGUAAGAGGGAAUUUCUGCCUGACUCCCUAAGCUUGGACAAUUGGUCUGCUCUUUCCUGUGGACUGGAACUUACAUCUUUGGUUCUCUUGGGUCUCCAGCUUGCUGACUGCAGAUUUUGGGAUUUCUCAGCCUCCAUCAUCUUGUUAGAUGAUUCCUAUAAUACAUACAUAUGUAUAUACGUACAAACAUACAUAUCAAUUCAACCUUUAUAUCAUCAGAUAAAUCCUUUGCAAAAGAAUUAUGCUUUUCCCCACCUUUGAAACAGAUAAAAACAAGAGUUUAUAGAGAGAAUGUUAACAACUCUGGCCAAUUAUUUAUAUAUAUAAUAUCAUAAACCAAAUAUUAACAAACUGUGCAAUUCUAUCACAUUUUCUCUGAAAUGUCAUCCAUCAUAAUAAAAAUCCUGAUUUCAGGUAUGUUUCGUGAGGGGGAGAAAAGGUCAAUUCAUAUCAGGAUGAAUCUUUUCAUCGUUCAAUGGGGAAAA